UUCGAAAAUUUUAUGGAACUAAGCUUUUCUGUGUUACCAUUCCCAUGCUUCUCAAACUCUAUGGGAUGAACACUUUGACACGAAGUCCCUGGCUCCUUUUCCUGUUCUUGAAAGAAACCCAUUUUAACAUCAUAUUCGGAGCGUGAUGAGAAGGUGGCUUUCUUCGUUUUGUAUUGAAUUGGAUUCUACCUUCUGAAGUUCGGUGAUCUAGCCCAGUUUUUCUUCUGCUUGACACAGUUGGCCUCAUAAAUCUCGGUAUCCCUGAUGAGGGAGCUGUUGCAGCUGCUCCAAUAUUGUUUAUGGUAACUUUAUGGUUCAGCUGUGCCUCUUCCAUCAAUAAAUAAGAAGCCUGCAGUUCUUCAGAAGAUAAAAUUCACCAUUGCAACCUGCUUCUCCUCUCGUACUUCCUGAUGAUCAAUAGUUCACCAAGAUUGUUAUUACUAAAAGAAUGCAGACAUCGAUUUCUAAUUAGGAUGAAGCUUUUCACAUCAGUUGAUAUGAUAAUGUCCUCAGACAGAAAUUCUAGCAAGCAAACUGACAAGGAGCAUCAAAGCAAGUGAUUGAUAAUCGAAUCAUGCUAAGAUGAGCAAUGACAAAAAGCAUAAACUUAGAAAAGUAUAUCUCAAGUUCGUUUAGCAGUUUCUGAAGCUAAUAUCCGUUAUAUUAUAUGACUAAAAAGAUACAGAAACAUGUAAACUGCAGACGUACCAUGGUGGCAUAGGAUCAGUUGGUUUAGUUGGCUGAGAAACAAGCAAGUCUUUCAGAUUUCCCAGGGUCUGGAUCGACACCAUGGUUAUACAAGAGACCUCUCUUCGAAUCUUCUGGCGUGGAUCUUUUGGAUGAUACUUCAGAUGAGAAGAAGUACCAGAAUUCUUGGUUGCAAAAUUUGGCUGAAGUCUAAACUCUUCAAGGCCCCUCCAUAGCUAAUAUGGGAUCUCUGAACAUAGGAAUCCCCUGAAGACCAAGACAUGGUCAACAAUACUGCUUCAAAGGUUUCAGAAAUUUUGAGGUCCAAAAAGGACUAUUGGGGGACCAAGGAGGUUUGGGAAGGCGCAGCUUCAAAGCUAGUCUUACAAGCAAUAGCAUGUAGGGAAAGACAGAUGAAACGGGAUCGGGGGAGCUGGUGUCUUUAUAAAGCUGAGGAGAGUGCGAUUCACUUGCAACGGUCUAAUUUUGUUUCAAUUCUAUAUUGUCAAAUUUAAUUCAACCCCAUUUUGGUAUUUAUAGCCGUUAGAGUCGAGAGCUCUAUAGGCCAAAGGGGAAAAAAGUUACGGUGGUUUUGUAUUCUGAAUC